ensembl:lncRNA
UCUGGUCAUUGUUAAAGUAUCUCUGUUCCUUGAAUAAGACACUUAGUUUCCCUUUCUUUUUCCUUUUCUCUCAGUGGGGCUGCUAUUUUGCCUGUGCUUCAGAAUGGACCCACUACAGAGAAAUAAAUUGAGAAUAAAGCACUGUGUCUCAUCUCAAAAUGAUAUGAAAAAGACUUCUGAAGUUGUCUUAAGACUGUUUCUGUGGGGCUGCUGGCACAAAGUUCCCAGGAAAAGCACAUGCCUGACAGAGCUGCUGUAACCCAAAGAAACCUAGAUGGUGGCUGAUGAGGAACGACACCUGAUAAAUAACAAAAGCUUGUUUUAAGUUUAGUUCCUGUGGAAUGAAGCUUCAAAAUCAAAUGUAAGAAAGAAAGAUCAGAGUGUAGGAUGAGUGGAGAACAGAAGCAUACACCGCCUCUGAAAGAGGGGAGAAAAGGGCAUCUUGAACCAUUUGUGAAAAGAAAAGGAAGAAAUUCUAAAAGACGUGGGCUGGAGAGUGUCAAGACUAAAGACACAAGAUGGUUAUGGAGAUUCUCUGUUACCUAUCACUUGCACCUGAGUACAGCAAUGUGUGUAUGCUGCCUGGAUGUAGCCUGCUGUAGCCUGUGAGCAUUGUUUUCCUGUUUCCUGGCUGCUAAUGGUGGUCAUCCAGGGCAGGAGAAGUGAAAAGUUGCAUGGAGUUAUUGGGCAACCAAGCCAGCCUGGCUCUUGUCACUGCUGCACUUGCACAUCUUGCAUGGCUCAUCCUCCAUUGAUUCAGGUGGUUCCUGCUAAUUCCCCUCCCCAGUGGGAUUGGGGAGAGAAUUGGAAGAGUAAGAGUGUGAAAACUCAUGGGUUGAGAUAAAGGCAGUUUAAUAGGUAAAGAAGAACUGCACACACAAGCAAAGCAAAGCAAGGAAUUAAUUUACUGCUUCCUGUCACCCCCAGGAUAACAGGGCUCCAUCACCUCUCAUGGUUAUCUGGGAAGACAAAUACCAAUGCUUUGGAUCUUACCCCUUCCUCCUUAUUCCCCCUGACUUUUUUGUAUGCUAAACAUGAUUGUAUACAGCAUGGAAUAUCCCUUUGGUCUGCUGGCUGUACCACUAGCUGUCCCAGCUGUGUCCCCUCCCAGUUCCUUGUGCACCCCUAGCCCACUCUGUGGGCAUGGUGUGAGAAGCAGAAAAAGUCAGUGUGAGCACAUCUGAGCAGUAGCAAAAACACCCCUGUUUUAUUAACAUCAUUUUCAGGACAGAUCCAAACCCCAGCCCCACACUAUCUAAUGUGAAGAAAAUUAACUUUACUGCAGCCCACUGCUGUAACAGACAGUCAGGUAAUAAUAUGAUUAAGACAUAAGAUUUUGUUUCUCUAUUAAUCAUGGAGUCUGGCUUUUAUGGUCAAUAUAUUUUGUUUACAGGGUGGGUGAGGUUCUUAUUUUGUUGCUUUAAUGUCAGGCUAGCAGAAAAUGUGUCUUUUUCUAAGUCAAUAAAGAAACCCCA